GUAUGCCGCAAGUGCGGCCCUUAAAAAAAAAAAAAAGAAAGUUAAAAACCUUUAGCUGUUCAUUUCUAGGGAGACCAAUACAUUAAACAGGAAGAAGCUAAGUCAGCAGUGAUCAUCAGAACAAAUAAAAUCCUAAGAGGACCACCAACUGAUGACUUAACCAAAAAUCCUGCUGUCACUGCUGGAAGGAUGGUGAAACCAAAAGUGGAGCUAUAAGGUGACACACAUACAAGUGCCACUUCCCGUCAUAGAAGGUCAGUGGAAAAUGAACUAGUGCGUGUAGGACAGGACGGUUAGCUCUGCGGUACUUGGCGAGGGGAGACACACGUGGUUCUCUUCCAUUAUAGGCCUAGUGCUCUUUGGUUCUGUAAACUGUAUUAUCAUGUGUGUCGCUUUGGUGGAAAGACACUUGCGUAGGCAGGAAAGGGGUGUGGGCUGGAGAUUCAGGUUUGAGAGUUCCUUGUCUGUGAGAUUCCUUGGGAAGAGCAUGGGCGAGGAGAGCCGAGGGUGGAAGCCCGAGGAGUGCCCGUGUCUGAGGGAAGAAGAGACUGGGACGGCGCCUCCCAGAUGUUCUCAAGUGGGUGUGUUUGCCUCUAGUGAUUAGGAGGAGGUGGUCAUGAGAAGGCAGAGGUGUUGGAAGGUGGUAACGUUUAGGGGUCCAGGGCAGGGGGUGUUGCCAGAGACAGGACGGUUGCCCAGGACGAGAGAGAUCCUUGUUGUAAAUGUGCUUGAGUGAGAGUGACUGACCACUGGAGUGGGCAGUGAGGACAUCUCUGGUAACCUCAGCACGAAGUGAGCUAGCGAGUGGGGGCUGAAGAGAGAUCGGGAUGCAGGGGUUUGUUUUUGUUUGUUUGCUUUUGUCACAGAAGGAAGCACCUUUUAUUGUUGUGUUGUUGUUUGUUUGUUUUCUCACUGUGCCCAGGGCAUGUGGAAGUUCCCUGGUCUGGGAUUGAACCCACCUCUGCAGUGAUAACACCCAGUCCUUCACCCACUGCACCACGGGGGGAAUCCCGAGAGGUGGCGAUUUGAAGUGCUACAGCAGCAGUGAGGUGGCACUUAACCCCGAGAGCCGUGUCUCCAGGUAGCCAGGUGACACGUCCAGGUGCCAUGGAGGACGUGAGACCGAACAUGCAGAGAUGACCAAACUCAUCCACCACGCAGACCCUGGUGAUCAGAAUGGUGUGAGCUAUUUGUAUUUGGAAGGGAGCCGCUCCAGAGGAGAUCCAGAGCGUCUUAUGCCACAGAAGGUUCCAGAAGAGAAGCCUGCUGCUCUGAGGAGCAGGCAUUGCCAAGCCAUUGAGACAUCUUAUCCAGGAUGGGGAGAGAGAGGCAUUUGGCAGAGAUCUUUGGCCAGCAGUCUGAGAGGGGGCUGGACGUGGAGGCUGCUUCAGUGACGCAGAGACUGCAUCACAGUUUCUGGCUAACAAGACCCGAGAAUCCUGCUGGUAACAGGUGGCACUCACACUGUGCUUCCUCUGCGCCUGGCCCGUCUUGAGCACAUCCGUCCUCUGAAUUAAUUGGUGGAGCCUCAGGGCAGCACUAGGAGACAGUGUGCCAUGAGGGAUCGACCUUGGCCCCUGCUCCUCAGAGGUGACCUCGAAGCACUUGGCGUGCCCUUCCUGAUAGAUUAUUUCAACAGUCAGAGGCUUGGGCGAGGAUGAAAAAUUACUCCCUGGGUCCUCUUCUCCAGACCCGCCUCGCUAGUUCUCCUAAAGCCACCUCGGAUCAGCGCAGCGAUCCAGCUACAAAUCAGGGUGUUACCCAGACUCAGAGGAGCUACCUGACUUUCUGGAAUGGGCGGGGAAAAGCAGCCUGUGUCCAGAGCCACACGCCUCAGAAAGCACCACUGGCCAUGUGAGGAGCCCCGACCCGAGAGAUAGGUGGGCCCCUGGGCGGGGUCAGCGUUACCUGAUCCUCUGAAUGCGGCAGUCGUUCCCACUCAGCACGCUGCCCAGCAGCUCCAUCACCGGGUCCUGGAACUGGUUGGCAUCCAGCCUGGUGGAGACGAGGAACAGCGUGAGUGAGUGGUCCUGCCGCCGCCGCCCAAGGACAGACGGGAAGAGGCUCCUGGCAAAGGGCUGACCUCAGGGCAGCAGAGGGGGCGCUGGGCUCUGACACCCAGGCCGGGGUCCUUCCCCCUCCUCCUCCAUCCCAACGAGAUCCCACUGAGAGGCUCAGACUUUUUCUGUGAGGAUGACCUGGGAGGCUCGGGGGGGUUCCGACCAGGGGGGCGUUUUGCCAGCAGCGUGCACGCUGAGGGCAUCUGCAGGACUCCAGAUGCCUUCUGAGGAUGUGGAAGCUGCUCUGAGGUCCUGCAUGGCCCUGGUCCCACAGCCUCUCCUGCCCUCCCUGCCGAGGUCCAGGCUGAGGACCGAGGAUGGUGGGCUGAGGGGUGAGCAGUGCGGCCUGGGUCAGCGUCCAGAUGGUUUCAGGGUGUUUAGCUUGAAUCGCUACGGCCACAGCCACACCGGAUCCGAGCUGCAUCUGUGAGCUAUGCCAC